GACGAACGCUGGCGGCGUGCUUAACACAUGCAAGUCGAACGGAAAGGCCCUGCUUUUGUGGGGUGCUCGAGUGGCGAACGGGUGAGUAACACGUGAGUAACCUGCCCUUGACUUUGGGAUAACUUCAGGAAACUGGGGCUAAUACCGGAUAGGAGCUCCUGCUGCAUGGUGGGGGUUGGAAAGUUUCGGCGGUUGGGGAUGGACUCGCGGCUUAUCAGCUUGUUGGUGGGGUAGUGGCUUACCAAGGCUUUGACGGGUAGCCGGCCUGAGAGGGUGACCGGCCACAUUGGGACUGAGAUACGGCCCAGACUCCUACGGGAGGCAGCAGUGGGGAAUAUUGCACAAUGGGCGGAAGCCUGAUGCAGCAACGCCGCGUGCGGGAUGAAGCCCUUCGGGUUGUAAACCGCUUUCGCCUGUGACGAAGCGUGAGUGACGGUAAUGGGUAAAGAAGCACCGGCUAACUACGUG
rnacentral:rRNA from 1 species